rnacentral:rRNA from 1 species
UACGGGCUCAGUAACACGUGGAUAAUCUGCCCUCAGGUGAGGAAUAAUCCCGGGAAACUGGGGCUAAUACGUCAUAGGAGACAGGUGCUGGAAUGCUCUGUCUCCCAAAGGUCCGCCGCCUGAGGAUGAGUCUGCGUCCGAUUAGGUUGUUGUUGGGGUAACGGCCCAACAAGCCAUUGAUCGGUACGGGUUGUGGGAGCAAGAGCCCGGAGAUGGAUUCUGAGACAUGAAUCCAGGCCCUACGGGGCGCAGCAGGCGCGAAAACUUUACAAUGCGAGCAAUCGUGAUAAGGAAACCCUGAGUGCCUGUCAAUGCAGGCUGUUCUGGUGUCUAACACACACCAGGAGAAAGGGCGGGGCAAGACCGGUGCCAGCCGCCGCGGUAAUACCGGCUGCUCGAGUGAUAGCCGCUUUUACUGGGCUUAAAGCGUUCGUAGCUUGGUCGUUAACUCUCUGGGGAAAUCUUUUGGCUUAACCAAAAGGCGUCUCAGGGAAAGUGGCGAUCUUGGAACCGGGAGAGGUAAGACGUACUUCGGGGGUAGGAGUGAAAUCUUGUAAUCCCCGAGGGACGACCGAUGGCGAAGGCAUCUUACCAGAACGGCUUCGACAGUGAGGGACGAAAGCUGGGGGAGCAAACCGGAUUAGAUGCCCGGGUAGUCCCAGCCGUAAACGAUGUGCGUUAGGUGUGUCAGCGACCACGAGUCGCUGAGGUGCCGAAGGGAAACCGUGAAACGCACCGCCUGGGAAGUACGGUCGCAAGGCUGAAACUUAAAGGAAUUGGCGGGGGAGCACAAGGG